AGAACGAACGCUGGCGGCAGGCCUCAAACAUGCAAGUCUAGGGGGUGUAGCAAUACAUCACCGGCGGACGGGUGCGUAACGCGUGGGAAUAUACCUAUUGGUUCGGAACAACUGAGGGAAACUUCAGCUAAUACCGAAUAAGUCCUUACGGAGAAAGAUUUAUCGCCAAUAGAUUAGCCCGCGUUCGAUUAGCUAGUUGGUGGGGUAACGGCCCACCAAGGCGACGAUCGAUAGCUGUUCUGAGAGGAAGAUCAGCCACACUGGGACUGAGACACGGCCCAGACUCCUACGGGAGGCAGCAGUUGGGAAUCUUGGACAAUGGGGGAAACCCUGAUCCAGCCAUGCCGCGUGAGUGAUGAAGGCCUUGGGUUGUAAACUCUUUCGCGCACGACGAUAAUGACGGUAGUGCGAGAAGAAGCUCCGGCUAACUUCGCGCCAGCAGCCGC
rnacentral:rRNA from 1 species